CACGGCGGCUUUAGCGCGGUGGUCCCCACCUGACCCCAUGCCGAACUCAGAAGUGAAACGCCGUAGCGCCGAUGGUAGUGUGGGGUCUCCCAUGUGAGAGUAAGGGAACUGCGGGCA
rnacentral:rRNA from 1 species